rnacentral:lncRNA from 1 species
ACUUGCACAAGGAAUAGUCUAAGGGCAGGAGACAACGCAUUCAGGAAGAGACCAUGUUAAAGCAGCAGAAGAGCUUUCCAAUAGAAAAUUCGACUACUGCUGAAGCCUUGCGUGUGCUUUUCCUUCCACAUUAGUCAGUUUAUACGUAUUCGGUCUUCAUCUCCGGAUCUUACAUGAUGAUGCAGCCCCAUGUUUAGCAUGUGCAUAAAAUCCACCCCGCCCCUGCGAGGCUUGUACUGAAUGAGGGCAGUGGAUCUCCAAGUAGAGCUGAGAUAGAAAACAAAGAGAUUCUGGUUGCUGCAAGGUAUCUGGGAGAUGCUUUUAUGCUUUGUUCAAAGGUAAAAAAAAAAAAUAAUAAUAAUAAAAACUGUCCCAUGUUG